CCUACGUGUGGCAGCAGUGGGGGAUAUUGCACAAUGGGGGAAACCCUGAUGCAGCGACGCCGCGUGGGUGAAGAAGCGCCUCGGCGCGUAAAGCCCUGUCAGCAGGGAAGAAAAUGACGGUACCUGAAGAAGACGCCCCGGCUAACUACGUGCCAGCCGCCGCGGUACUACGUAGGGGGCAAGCGUUAUCCGGAUUUACUGGGUGUAAGGGGGGCGCAGACGGCGAUGCAAGCCAGGAGUGAAAGCCCGGGGCCCAACCCCGGGACUGCUCUUGGAACUGCGUGGCUAGAGUGCAGGAGGGGCAGGCGGAAUUCCUGGUGUAGCGGUGAAAUGCGUAGAUAUCAGGAGGAACACCGGGGGGGAAGGCGGCCUGCUGGACUGCAACUGACGUUGAGGCCCGAAAGCGUGGGGAGCAAACAGGAUUAGAUACCCGAGUAGUC
rnacentral:rRNA from 1 species